UCUGGCUACGGGUCCGAGUUGUAAUCUGUAGAGGAUGUUUUUGGCAAGACGCCUUCUGAGUCCCCUGGAACGGGGCGCCAUAGAGGGUGAGAGCCCCGUACGGUUGGACGUCGCGCCUCUGUAAAGCACCUUCGACGAGUCGAGUAGUUUGGGAAUGCUGCUCAAAGCGGGAGGUAAAUUUCUUCUAAAGCUAAAUACCGGCCAGAGACCGAUAGCGCACAAGUAGAGUGAUCGAAAGAUGAAAAGCACUUUGAAAAGAGGGUUAAAAAGCACGUGAAAUUGUUGAAAGGGAAGCGUUUGUGACCAGACUUGUUCCCGGCGGAUCAUCCGGCGUUCUCGCCGGUGCACUCCACCGGGUUUCAGGCCAGCAUCGGUUUCUUCGGAGGCAUAAAGGCUUUGGGAACGUAGCUCUUCGGAGUGUUAUAGCCCAUUGCAAAAUACCUUCAGGGGGACCGAGGCCCGCGCAUUGCAAGGAUGCUGGCGUAAUGGUCACCAGCGACCCGUCUU
rnacentral:rRNA from 1 species